GGGCUAAUGAGAAAAAAUGGAGCUCGAAAAAUAUUUUGACUUCUUUCCCAGAAAGAGUAGAAAAGGUCUGCCCAGCAGACUAUCCACAGUAUUAAGCCCAAAGCCGUUUUGGCUUUGUUGAGGAUUGACAUUUGGAUGUAACCCCUGUCAUGAGAACGAAGAUACAGAAAGUACGCUGGGAAGCAGACCCACAAGUAAAUACAAGGGACCCAGACCAAGACUGUGUUCUGAAAGCACUGGGUGAAGUCUGGAUUUUCUGUGUGCCAUGUCAGAUUCCAAUCCCAAAAGGGCUCGGAGGCGUCCGCGCUGCAGAGGCUUUCGAUCCCCAUGUGGCGUCGAGGCGACCCACGGACCGCCGCGGCAGCGCUGCGCUUCCCCCUCCGCACCUCUCCGUGCCCGGGCGGCGGCGGCCGGCAGCGCCGGCGCAGCGCCCUGAUUGGCUCCGCGGUCACGGGGAU
rnacentral:lncRNA from 1 species